ACCGGCGAGUUACGAUUUGUUGCAAGGUUAAGCGGAAAAAGCGGAGCCGUAGCGAAAGCGAGUCUGAAUAGGGCGCAUAAGUAACAGGUCGUAGACCCGAAACCAGGUGAUCUACCCAUGUCCAGGAUGAAGGUAAGGUAAUACUUACUGGAGGUCCGAACCCACGCACGUUGAAAAGUGCGGGGAUGAGGUGUGGGUAGCGGAGAAAUUCCAAUCGAACUUGGAGAUAGCUGGUUCUCUCCGAAAUAGCUUUAGGGCUAGCCUCGAGGUAAAGAGUCAUGGAGGUAGAGCACUGUUUGGACUAGGGGCCCUUCUCGGGUUACCGAAUUCAGAUAAACUCCGAAUGCCAUGUACUUAUACUCGGGAGUCAGACUGCGAGUGAUAAGAUCCGUAGUCGAAAGGGAAACAGCCCAGACCACCAGUUAAGGUCCCCAAAUAUAUGUUAAGUGGAAAAGGAUGUGGGGUUGCUUAGACAACCAGGAUGUUGGCUUAGAAGCAGCCACCAUUGAAAGAGUGCGUAAUAGCUCACUGGUCGAGUGACCCCGCGCCGAAAAUGUACCGGGGCUAAACAUAUUACCGAAACUGUGGAUGAACCUCUUUAGAGGUUCGUGGUAGGAGAGCGUUCUAAGGGCGGUGAAGUCAGACCGGAAGGACUGGUGGAGCGCUUAGAAGUGAGAAUGCCGGUAUGAGUAGCGAAAGAAGGGUGAGAAUCCCUUCCACCGAAUAUCUAAGGUUUCCUGAGGAAGGCUCGUCCGCUCAGGGUUAGUCGGGACCUAAGCCGAGGCCGAUAGGCGUAGGCGAUGGACAACAGGUAGAGAUUCCUGUACCAGUGCUAAUUGUUUAACCGAUGGGGUGACACAGAAGGAUAGGGAAUCGCACGAAUGGAAAUGUGCGUCCAAGCAGUGAGUGUGAGAAGUAGGCAAAUCCGCUUCUCGCGAAGCAUGAGCUGUGAUGGGGAAGGAAAUUAAGUACGGAAGUUCCUGAUUUCACGCUGUCAAGAAAAGCCUCUAGGAAGAGUAGUACUGCCCGUACCGCAAACCGACACAGGUAGAUGAGGAGAGAAUCCUAAGGUGAGCGAGAGAACUCUCGUUAAGGAACUCGGCAAAAUGACCCCGUAACUUCGGGAGAAGGGGUGCUCUAUUAGGGUGCAAGCCCGAGAGAGCCGCAGUGAAUAGGCCCAGGCGACUGUUUAGCAAAAACACAGGUCUCUGCAAAACCGUAAGGUGACGUAUAGGGGCUGACGCCUGCCCGGUGCUGGAAGGUUAAGAGGAGUGCUUAGCUUCGGCGAAGGUACGAAUUGAAGCCCCAGUAAACGGCGGCCGUAACUAUAACGGUCCUAAGGUAGCGAAAUUCCUUGUCGGGUAAGUUCCGACCCGCACGAAAGGCGCAACGAUCUGGGCACUGUCUCAACGAGAGACUCGGUGAAAUUAUAGUACCUGUGAAGAUGCAGGUUACCCGCGACAGGACGGAAAGACCCCGUGGAGCUUUACUGCAACCUGAUAUGGAAUGUUUGUACCGCUUGUACAGGAUAGGUAGGAGCCGAAGAGACGUGUGCGCUAGCAUACGAGGAGGCAAUGGUGGGAUACUACCCUGGCUGUAUGACCAUUCUAACCCGCCACGCUUAGCGCGUGGGGAGACAGUGUCAGGUGGGCAGUUUGACUGGGGCGGUCGCCUCCUAAAGAGUAACGGAGGCGCCCAAAGGUUCCCUCAGAAUGGAUGGAAAUCAUUCGCAGAGUGUAAAGGCACAAGGGAGCUUGACUGCGAGACUGACAAGUCGAGCAGGGACGAAAGUCGGGCUUAGUGAUCCGGUGGUUCCGCAUGGAAGGGCCAUCGCUCAACGGAUAAAAGCUACCCCGGGGAUAACAGGCUUAUCUCCCCCAAGAGUCCACAUCGACGGGGAGGUUUGGCACCUCGAUGUCGGCUCGUCGCAUCCUGGGGCUGUAGUCGGUCCCAAGGGUUGGGCUGUUCGCCCAUUAAAGCGGCACGCGAGCUGGGUUCAGAACGUCGUGAGACAGUUCGGUCCCUAUCCGUCGCGGGCGCAGGAAAUUUGAGAGGAGCUGUCCUUAGUACGAGAGGACCGGGAUGGACACACCGCUGGUGUACCAGUUGUUCCGCCAGGAGCAUCGCUGGGUAGCUAUGUGUGGCAGGGAUAAACGCUGAAAGCAUCUAAGCGUGAAGCCCCCCUCAAGAUGAGAUUUCCCAUUUCUUCGGAAAGUAAGAUCCCUGAAAGAUGAUCAGGUAGAUAGGUUUGGAGUGGAAGUGUAGCGAUACAUGGAGCGGACAAAUACUAAUCGAUCGAGGACUUAACCAAAA
rnacentral:rRNA from 1 species